UGAUGUCCAUCAAGUAUUGGCACCGGCACAGUAUGCUAGAAUAUAAUAUGUAUUCUAACGUCAAAAAAUUGCUAGGAAUUUGCUAGAUUUUGCUAGGUCGUUUUCAGAAAAACGAUUCUGAAUUGAGUCUGUACAGACUACGUAUUCAACCUAAAAAUGUCAAUAAAAUGUUAUUUUAACCGCGGAGUUUUUAUCAAACAUAAAAAUUAUAAAAUUAUAAUAUCAAUAAACAGUAGUGAUAAGUGAUAAGUCUAAUCAAAGCAUUUUGUUUAUCUCCCGAACUUUCACGGAAAUCGACUGUAACUGAUGCAUUAGUCUGUCGAAAAAAGUCUCGUUCUCUUGUUUCAAGCACUGAAGGACGGACUCACGGACCUACGACGGACGCACACGAGAGAACUCUUGAAGCUAGUGAGAGCUAGUGUGUCGCCUAGAACGGUAGACUCGAGUACUCAAUCACCGACGCUCUGAGUGAGGUAUUUAACUACCUUUUCACUAUCAGUUUGUGACAAACACUUUUUGUUUGCCGCAGCCCCCGUGCCAUAUGAUUGCUUCGCUGACAUGUUCGAAUAUGGUGCCAUCGAUACAAACAUUAAACACGAUAAGCCUGGUGAUAAAAUGCUGUCGGAUUGGAACCAGUACAUUUGCGUAGUUACCUUUGACUUGGAGUUUGGCCCGACGGUGGAGGUCUACCCCAACGACAUCAAAUUAUCCAUGGAAGUCAAACCUAACCUCUGUUACCUGGCAUUUCUCAACUCCAAUUCCAGAUGCAUGGGAGUCACCUAAUUCCAUGUCAAGAAAAAGUGUUCUCAACCUUCAAAUCUCAGUCAACGCCAUAUAAACAAUUUUGCAAAAUUUAUGGGUAAACUUAAGCCACGGUUUCACUUAGCCGUCGUUUUCCGUUCCACGGGUGGCUUGCAGACAGCUGUUCUCGUAGUCAGCUGAUCUUCAUUUUAUAUAUUAAGAUAUUUGGAUUUUCCUGUUGUUGUAUGCAAUAUUAUCAGGGAAGAUACAAGAGGUAUAAUAUGUAGAGUUGCUGUCAUAUAUUAGAAAUGUAUUAUCGUUAAUAUACAGCCAACUGACAAUAAUUAGUGACAAUGAAUUUGGAUUGAUGGAUGAGAUUAAGAUUAUAUUCCCUGAAAGCAAUCAAGCAUCAAGGAUGUUAUUCCAUUUUUACCAAGCAAUUACAAUCUUAUUAAAAGGAAUCCAAUUGCUACACGAGUGUUGAGAUUGGUUCUAGCAUUACCAUAUCUGCCUGCAGUGAGAACGGACAAUUUUCCUUCAAUGAAGGAUGAAUUUCAGACAAUUGUAGAUUAUAUGAACCAAUUUCCCAAUUUCAUUAUGCAUUGUGAGGGAUUUUUAUUUGAGUAUAUUGGUUUGAAAAGAUAAAACCUACUGCAAUAAAAGUUUACCAAAAAGAUCAGUUAUAGUUCUUAGAAAAUCAGUGAUUCAUUGAAUUAAGACAAUUGAAACAAAAUACGAAGG